UGUAAAUAAUUUUCGUUGUUUUCACAGUUUUUUACUGUUUUUCUCGACAGUUUCUUACUGUAUAAGUUGUUUACAGUUUGUUACUAUAGAUUUGUUGUUUCCACAGUAUUUUAAUGUAUUUUCAACAGUUUUUUACUGCAUAAGCUUUGUACAGUAGGCUACUGUAGUUUUCCAAUGCAUUAUGGGAAAUAUUACUCUGAAUACAGUAUUACCAACCAACUGCAAAACACAAUGACAAACGUCUAUUUAUAUCUUAAAUGCUUAAUUUUUUUGUGAGAUAUUUGUUUUAAUGUCUGUUUUCACAUCAGAUGCUCGGUGUGUUCCUUUAACAUAAAUCAGGUGCCUUUUCUGAGGCUUUAAUGAAAUCACCAGCCAAUUCAAUAGACAUACCAUCAGUUCUUAAUAUUGUUGCCUCUGGGUCACAAAAUGUAUUUUUAAGAUUAGUUUAGGCGAUAAUAUAUAUGUAUAAUCUUCAAAUAACAGUCGAUUAGUUAAAAAAGCGCUAAUUUUAGAAUUUGAUUAAACAAAUGCGGAGGGUUCAGGCGCGAGUCGGUCACGUGAUGUGCUCCUCAGUUCUGUCAGUAGGGGGAGUGGGAGAACGCGUGUGUGUCGUCGUAUCUGUUCUGCUCAUCUAGCGCGUAUUUCUUUAUUAAUAUCUGCUGGGUGAAUAUUAAUACGUAUAUGCUAACAUUAAUUUUGUGACCACAAAAUGACAGCGAUCUAUUAUACGAGAUAUUGUGUCGUCGUGUUUGUCUUCACUCACUUCAUCAUUAUCUGGUAAGUGCUAUAUGCAAUAUCUGGUAUGAGACUUUAUUGGCACUAAAGGGUUCUUUCGGCUAAAUUUUACUUAAUUUCUGUCAUAACAGCAAACAACUUCUGCAACUACACAAUGAUUGUCUGCCUGUGUGCAAAAUAAAGCACGUUCACUGUGUAAAACCCCGCGCAGGGCAUUUUCAAAUUAACGGUCAGGGCGAGUCUGAGCUUAUCGUGUUGUGUUGACAGAGACUUUGCUGAGGUAAGUAAGAGAAAGAAAUUAAUGUGUUAAAUAAAUAACGUUAUAAACUUGAAUUAUGUUGUGCCAGAAUACGUUGUUUAAUGAAUAUCUGUGGAAUAGGUUUAAAAUAAUACAUUAAUGACUGAACGUGAACUUGACUGAACAUUAUGGCAGCUAGAAGUAUUGAAAAGACGUAUAAUAGAUUUAACAAUGUUUUAUCUUCUUUAUUAGUGUAUGUAAAUCUGGGCUACAGUCCACGACAAAUUUUCUACGGUAGUUUUACGCCUGCAUGCUGGUCCUUUCGUCUAUCGCGGGGAUAUCAUCACUUCAGCGGCCAUCGCACUGAAGAGAUCCUGUGCUUGCGUGGCGGUGUGUUUGUGUGCUCACUUGGAUUGAGACCAGCAGUGCUUUUUUAAACAGUGGAUUCUUUAUGACAUCAAGAUGUGGUUUGGGAAGGACCUUCAUCUAAAUCUGAAGACAGGACAUACUGGCUCAAAAAGCGUUUGGUCAGGAACUGCCUAUACACUUGAAAAAUGCACAGAACUGGAACAGCACAUCAGUUGGGAGCACAUUAACAAGGAUGAAAUUUAUCCAAUAAUUAUUUUAAUAUUUAUAGGUAAGCAACUACUUGCUGAGUGUAUUUAAUGAGUGUGUAUUAAUCUCUUACAGCUCCCAUACUUAGUACAGUAUAUUUUAAUCAGUGUGGCAAUAACUUGUGUUUUAUUUUUAUGUUUACACAGGUGUUUCUGAUAUGGAGAAAAACCCUGCACUGCUCAUUUUAUUUCUUCAUCUUGAGAAUACAGCAAGUUUACCUUUUGUCUGGAAAAUGAUUCAGCAAAGCUAACACCAACAACAAUUUUUCAAUGCACUUUAAACCACCUUGAUGUGAGGAGCCAGAGGAUGGUGUCAAUAUCCUGAAAGUGGAGGUAACAGAGGUGGAUCUCGAGACUUGGCCAUGUUCUAGAUUAUAACUGGAUUAUCACAAGUGCUGUCGCCCCUGCUGUAUAUGACGCCCCCACCACCUACACCAGGUGUAGGAAAUGUCGGUCCUGGAGUGCCGUUGUCCUGCAGAGUUUUGCUCCAGCUCUAAACAAACACACCUGAACAACUAGAUCUGAAGAGUCACCAGAAAACUACAGGUAGGCGAGGUUUUAUCAGGGUUGGAAAUGAAAUCUGCAGGAUUUCGGCACUCCAGGACCGACGUUGCCUACUACUGACCUACACCUUCAUCCUGCCACCACCACCCAUACUACCUACAAAAAACUGUAUUGUAAUUAUGCUUUUCACUGUAUUGUAUGAUGUGGUUUUCUCAUUUAGGGUAACUACACUAUGGCAACAAUUGGAUACAUUGAUUGCUGACUGAUUUUGUUAUUUUUUCUUUACUUUUUGUUUAAAAUCUAAUCAUUUUUUUGUUAUUUUUGUUAAUAUUGUUACAAAUAUACAGUUAAAACUGCACAAUAAAUUUUCUGCUUUUAAA